UGAAAAUUUGCAACUACUCAAACUCUAUAUAAAUAAAUCUAGCUUUCAAGGAAGUAAUAUAGAGACUCUUGUUGCAUGAAGAGGUUUCGUGAGGUUAUUUACUUAUAGCCCACGUACUAUUCAUGUCGAAGUACGUACUGCAUAUAUAUAGGUAGUUUCGAUCUCUCAAAUUGCAUCAAUCAAUAAAUUUACGAUACAUGAUUCUGCAUCCCAUAUCUUAUCAUCCAUGUGUAUGGUCGAAAUCGAGCUCACCUACGACAUGACAAGUUAGGAACAUGACAACCAAAGACUGAAGAUCGACUCCGAGUCCCACCAAGCUAGAACCUGGGGUUAUAACGCCUGCCUUCGAGAACAUUGAGUCUGUAAUUCCGGAGUCGACCUUAACCCUGAUUGAGCUCGAAGAAACGUUGUUAGCAUAAAUAACAGAAGACCGAAAUAUCCGUAACCGGUCGGAUAUUAUGGUGGGAAUCUCGGCACGUAUCAAUAAGGCACCGACAAUCAUCAAAUCAAGAAAUGUUUUACAUUUUAUAGAAUUGUACCUCAAGUAGGACUCCUCUACCAUAUAAAGAGGGGUCUGAUAAUUCAUUGAACAGAUUAUAACACGCAUUCCAAAAUAAUACAUUAUUAUUCUCCUUUAGUUCUUACUACUCUCUUUAAAGCUCUCAUUUCUCCUGUCUUGAUAUCGAUCGAAGUACCUGAUUCAAGGGUGAUUAAUUCUCCGGGGUUAAGACUGUUCGAUUCGUGUGGUUUGCGUUCACUUUUCUAUUACUUAUUUUAAUUGCAAUCUAAUUUGUUGUUUUGUAUCAAGUUAAAUCACGCAUCCUUAAAACCACUUACAAAUUCAAUUGUUAUCCGAUUUUGAGGGUAAACAGUUUGGCGCCCACCGUGGGGCUAAGGAUAAUAGUGGUUAUUUGAUACAAAUUUCCAUAACACACACUACUUUACACUUGUUCUUUGAAGUGUCUUUAAUUUCAGGGUAAAACUCAAAAUGUCGAACUCUCAAUCAGCACCCCUAUAUGUUGACAAUAAGUCCGGCCAUCACGGUGAAAAUAACGACAUAGCACCCGAUGACGAGGUACCGCCCGGUGAUCCUAUCGGAAUUUUGACCGCGGGCACGGGAUAAAAAAAUCGAAGCUAAUGACAAAAAGGUAGAAACCUACAAUUCCAGGGUAGACCAGAUCCCAGGAGCACCGCUAAUAUUGAAAGGCUUGGAUUCUAAGAAGUUCGUGAAAAAACCUUUUCCUCCGAGCGCGGCUCCGAAGCCGAUCCCUAAGAAAUUUCGCAUGUCUGAGAUUGCUAAGUAUAACGGAACGACUGACCCAAAUGAGCAUAUAACCUCUUACACAUGUACCAUCAAAGGGAACAACUUGGAGGAUAAUGAGAUCGAGUCUGUCCUAUUGAAGAAGUUUGGAGAGACCCUGUCAAAAAGAGCUAUGAUAUGGUAUCACAACUUACCUCCUAAUUAUAUUGAUUCAUUUUCUAUGCUUGCGGAUUCUUUCGUGAAAGCACACGCCGGGGCCAUCAAGGUCGAAACCAGGAAAUCAGACCUUUUCAAAGUAAAACAGAAGGAUAACAAGAUGCUCAGAGAGUUCGUGUCCCAGUUUCAAAUGGAACGAAUGGACCUGCCAUCUGUCGCUGAUGAUUGAGACAUUCAGGCUUUCACCCAAGGGCUCAACGUUUGAAGCUCGAUGGCUUCACAACAGUUGAAACAAAACCUGAUAGAAUAUCCGACCGUUACUUGGGUUGACGUGCAUAACCGGUAUCAAUCGAAGAUCAUAGUGGAAGAUGAUCAACUCGGGGCCCUUUGGGUUCUGUUUAUCCCGUCAGAAACAUCGACAGAGUCAAGAGAGACAUCGAUCGUGAACCAGGACCAAAUAGGGAUCGGUACCAGCCAUAUAAUGGAGACCGAAGAAGCAGUGGUUCGGGGCGGAACUCUAUGAGAAACAAAAGGAGAAGUGACCGAGGUCAGAGCAACCGGGGACUCAUGAGCAAAAACAGCUUUGAUAGGCCCAUCGGGCCUAAAAAAGCACCGUGGUUAUCGGAAUACAACUUUAAUGUCAAUGCUGCUACUAUUGUAUCAACUAUCGGAUACAUCAAAGAUACCAAAUGGCAUCGACCUCUACAAUCCGAUCCAACCCAAAGGGAUCAUAACCAGAUAUGUAAAUAUCACGGCACUCAUGGCCACCAAACGGAGGAUUGCCGAUAGUUGAGAGAGGAAUUAGCCCGACUAUUCAACAGUGGGCAUCUUCGAGAGUUCCUGAGCGACCGAUCCAAGAAUCAUUUUAGGAAUAGGGAUUCUAACAAAUAGACCGAACAAGAAGAACCUCAACACGUCAUUAACAUGAUCAUUAGUGGGGUCGAUGUCCCUCAGGGGCCGAUGUUGAAACGCACCAAAGUGACCAUCACGAGGGAGAAAUGAACUCGAGAUUACAUACCGGAAGGAACCUUGUCUUUCAGCGACGAGGACGCGGAAGGGAUCGUACAACCCCACAAUGAUGCAUUGGUAAUAUCUGUACUUGAAGAUAAAAUUCGAGCAAAACGUGUGUUAAUUGAUCCAGGUAGCUCGGCCAACAUCAUCCGAUCGAGGGUCGUGGAGCAACUCGGUCUAGAAGAUCAAAUCAUGCCUGCAGUCCGAGUUCUAAACGGAUUCAACAUGGCAUAUGAAACCACUAAGGGUGAGAUUACAUUAUCGGUGAACACCAUCGGGACCAUCCAGGAAGCUAAGUUUUAUGUAAUCAAAGGAGACAUGAGGUACAACGCUUUGCUCGGAAGGCAAAAGAUCCACAACAUGAGGGCAGGGCCCUCAACUCUACACCAAGUGUUAAAAUUCCCAACACCAGGCGGAAUUAAAAUAAUCUACGGAGAACAACCAGCCACAAAGGAGAUAUUUGCGGUCGAAGAGGCGAUUCCGAUAUCCGUACUUGCAACGACAAAGGGGUCGAGUUCGGUCACAAAGCCAAAAACUAAAUAACAAUUACCGACUCCAGCUCCGACCCAACUGGAGAAACAGGGGACUGAUGAAGACGAUUAUUAUGAUUAUGGGGUACCCAGGUCUUUUAUAGCCCCUGAUGAUUCCGACGCCACUAAAUCGACGGUCGAGGAGCUAGAACAUGUCAUAUUGGUCUCACCUACUCGAUCGAAAGGUAUACCUGGGCACGAGGUUAAAUCCCGAGCUCAGGAAAAACUCAUUCAGUUUCUUAUAGCUAACAUAGAUUGUUUCGCUUGGCCCCACCUUAACAUGACAGGGAUCCCGCCAGAAAUAACCACUCAUAAGCUAAGCCUGGACCCGAAAUCCCAUCCGGUGAAACAGAAGAAGAGACCCAGUCCGAGAUCAAACAUGUUUUCAUCAAGGACGAGGUAUCUAAACUCCUUAAAAUAGGUUCCAUUCGGGAGGUUAAAUACCCGGAUUGGUUAGCGAACGUAGUGCUAGUCCCUAAAAAAGGGAAUAAAUUAAGAAUGUAUGUAGACUAUAAGGAUGUGAAUAAGGAAUGUCCUAAGGACUCUUUCCCUUUGCCCAACAUCGAUCGCAUGAUCGACACCACGGUCGGCCACGAGAUCCUCAGUUUUCUCGAUGCCUACUACGGGUACUACCAAAUACGGAUGGACCCGGGUGACCAGGAAAAAACCUCCUUCAUCACUAAAUGCGGCACCUACUGCUAUAACGUGAUGCCAUUCGGGUUAAAAAAUGCCGGUGCCACUUACCAACGCCUAGUAAAUCGGAUGUUCGAAAAAUAAAUAGGAAAAUCAAUGGAGGAUUAUAUUGACGAUAUGUUGAUUAAGUCUCUGCGGGCAGAGGACCAUUUAAAAUAUUUGCAAGAAACCUUCAGCAUAUUGAAGAAAUACAAUAUGAAGCUGAACCUGGAGAAAUGUGCAUUUGGAGUUGGGUCAUGUAAAUUCCUCGGAUUCAUGGUAUCCAACCAGGGAAUCUAGAUCAACCCCGACAAGAUCAAAGCCAUCGAAGAUAUCACAGUUGUGGACAACGUGAUGGCCGUGCAAAGAUUAACCGGGCACAUAGCCACCAUUGCGAGAUUCAUCUCGAAGUCCUCCGACAAGAGCCACCGGUUCUUUACACUAUUGAAGAAGAAGAAUAAAUUCUCAUGGACCCCGGAGUGCCAACGGGCCUUGGAGGAACUCAAGCGGUAUCUAUCGAGCCCACCGCUGCUCCACACGCCUAAGAUAGACAAACAACUAUACUUGUACUUGGCAGUAUUGGAGAUAGCGGUAAGUGGAGUCCUGGUCCGGGAAGAGCAAGGUACGCAAUUUCCAAUUUACUAUGUUAGCAGGACCCUAGGUGAGGCCGAAACAAGGUAUCCUUACCUAGAAAAACUGGCGCUCCUUUGCUAAGCGCCUCUAGAAAGCUAAAACCAUACUUCCAGUGUCACCCCAUAUGUGUCGUGACUACUUACCCAUUGAGGAAUGUUAUGCAUAAGACCGAACUCUCGGGCCGGUUGGCCAAAUGGGUCGUGGAAAUCAGUGGGUACGAUAUUGAAUAUCGACCCCGAACCGCAAUUAAGUCUAAAAUUUUGGCAGACUUUCUGGCCGACUUUACGCUGGACCUAAUACCCGAGGUUGAAAGAGAGUUAUUAAUCAACUCAUGAACCUCCUCGGGGAUCUAGACCCUCUUUACAAAUGGCGCCUCAAAUGCAAAAGGGUCCGGACUUGGCAUCGUAUUAAAGCCACCAACAGGCAAUGUAGUUAGACAAUCUAUUAGGACUGUGAAAUUGACUAACAAUGAGGCCGAGUAUGAGGCCAUGAUUGCAGGUCUCUAACUAGCCAAAAACUUGGGGGUAGAGGUAAUUGAAGCUAAGUGCGACUCCCUCAUUGUGGUAAACCAAGUUAAUGGGACGUUUGAGGUCAGAGAAGAAUAAAUGCAAAGGUACCUGGAUAAAUUGCAGGUAAGAUUACAUCGAUUCAAAGAAUAGACUUUGAAACACGUACCUCGGGAUCAAAAUAGUGAGGCCGAUGCCUCGCUAAACUAGGGUCAUCUGUCGAGGAUGACGAGUUCAACUAGGGGCAGUAGUACAACUUUUGAGAUCGGUAGUGGAAGAAGGUCAUGCCGAGAUUAACUUAACGAGCCAAACUUGGGACUGGAGAAAUAAAUAUAUAGAAUACCUGAAGACCGGAAAACUGCCAUCGGAUCUAAAAGAAUUGAGGGCCCUACGUACAAAGGCAACUCGGUUUAGCUUAUCCGAAGACGGAACCCUGUUCAGAAGAACAUUCGAUGGCACACUCGCGAUAUGUCUAGGACCAGGGGACACCGAGUACGUUUUGACGGAAAUCCACGAAGGCACCUGUGGAAAUCAUUCAGGCGCUAAAUCAUUGGUUCGAAAAGUGAUCAGAGCUGGAUACUACUGGAUCGAUAUAAAAAAGGACGCGAAGGAGUUUGUACAAAAAUGUGAUGGAUGUCAAAGACACGCUCCGAUGAUUCAUCAGCCCGGGGAGCUGCUGCAUUCGAUUUUUUUGCCAUGGCCGUUCAUGAAGUGGGGAAUGGAUAUUGUUGGCCCCCUUCCGUGGGCACCCGGUAAGGCUUAAUUUAUAUUGUUUAUGACUGAUUAUUUUUCUAAAUGGGUAGAAGCCCAGGCAUACGAAUAGGUCAGGGAAAAGGAAGUCAUCGAUUUCAUUUGUGACCAUAUCAUAUGCCGGUUCGGAAUACCGGCCAAGAUCGUGUACGACAACGAGAAAUAAUUCAUCGGCAGCAAAGUUGGCAAGUUUCUCGAAGAUCAUAAGAUCAAAAAUAUCCUAUCAACACCCUACCACCCUAGUGGAAACGGACAAGCAGAAUCAACCAACAAAACCAUACUCCAAAACCUCAAGAAGAGACUGACCGACGUCAAAAGAAAAUGGAAGGAAAUCUUGCCCGAAAUCUUAUGGGCAUACCGUACGACCUCGAAGUCCAGUACCGGAGCCACCCCGUCCUCACUGGUUUACGGCGCCAAAACUCUAAUACCAGUCAAAGUCGGAGAACCAAGUCUCAGGUUCCGAUAUGCAAUCAAGGAAUCGAACGAUGAGGCUAUGAACACGAGCCUAGAUCUAUUAGAUGAAAGGUGCGAAACAGCCCUUGUCCAGUUGGCUGCCCAAAAAUAGCGGAUCGAGAGAUAUUACAAUCGAAUGGCCAACCUUCAACCCUUUAAUGUCGGGGACUUAGUAUUAAGGAAUGUCACACUAAACACCCGAAACCCAAAUGAAGGAAAGUUGGGGCCGAAUUGGGAAGGACCUUAUCAAAUUAUUGAGAUCACCAGUAAAGGAUCAUACAAGCUUGGAACAAUGAACGGUGAGCAAUUACCGAACAACUAGAACAUAACUCACUUCAAAUGAUACUACUAUUAAGGUACUAUCCCAUUUACUUCCUUUUAUUUAUUUACAUUAUGAACUAACAUUUCCAGGCAAUCAUCAAAGAACGAUACAAUCUUUAGGCCUAAAAGCACGCGUUGCAUUCUUUUUCCCUUGAACCGGUUUUGUCCCAAAUGGGUUUUCCGACAAGGUUUUUAACGAGACAACAGUAAAUCGUGCUAACUUAGAAUUGAAGGUCGGUUACAAACCUGUAUCAAAAAUCAUGAUAUCAGUAUUCGAGGCCCCUCUAGGGCCCCGAACACUGGGGGGCAUCACCCUUGGAUAACGACUUUAACAAGGAAGGAAACUUUAUGAUUGAAUGGUCUCGGCUCGAUCGAUAAGAUUUACUGUAAGAGCCAAAUGAUCAAAUGAACCAUGCCCGCAUAGACUGCUCGAGUCAUGGCACAAAACUUGUACACAUGUGUAACUAUUACGCACAAGAGUAAAAAGAAAUUUCUACCUUGCAGAUAAAUAUCUUGUCCCUUAAGAAUUUCUCUUUUUUCUUUUUUCUCUUAAGGAAUUUCCUACAUCCGAUCCCUUAAAGGUAUCGAGCCCAAGGGCCGCCUUUACCCGGGUUCAAACGAUCACUCCCAAUCGGGGACUGUCGUCCAAAAACAAACUCGGAUAGCUCGGGCUGAGAAAGCCCGAGGGCACAAGACCUAUUAGGCAACGCCCGAACCUUAAAGACUACGGCCAUCCCCAUUCAGAAACUGUUAUCUUAGGCAAGCCCGGAUAACUCAGGGUAACAAGCCCACUGAAAAAGACCCGAACUAAAGGCUACGGCUACCAAGACCCGUAACAAAAAAUAAGGCUUUUAAAAUUUCAUAACGGUUCUAAAGGCUACCUUCGACAAAAUAUAAUUUAAAAAAUUAUAAGUACUUUGGGAAAAAAGUUUUUGGUCUUGCCGAACCCCCACAAGGCCUUAAACAAAAUAAUGUCUAAGGCAUUCCAAAAACAAACUCGGACGGCUCAGGCUGAGAAAGCCCGAGGGCACAAGACCUAUUAGACAACGACCAAAUCUUAAAGGCUACGACCAUCCCCAUUCAAAAACUGUUAUCUUAGGCAAGCCCGGAUAACUAGAGGUAACAAGCCCACUGGGCAACACCCGAACUAAAGGCUACGACCAUAUUAAAAUGGUUCGGAGACGUCCGAGACCCAUAACAAAAAACAAAGCCUUUAAAAUUUCAUAACCGGUUCUAAAGGCUACCUUCGGCAUACUAUAAUUUAAAAAAUCAUAAGUACUUUGGGAAAAAAGUUUCUGGUUAUACCGAACCCCCACAAUGCCAUCAACAAAAUAAUGUCUAAGGCAAGGCCUGUUCGAACCUCCGAACAUGACUUAACUAUUUUAUGCUAAGGUAUUUCAAUCAUUGUAAAACAUAAUGAAUAAAGAAAAGGAAAGCGAAAUUCUUAAAAGAGAAAAACAAAGCCUUGUAUAUUAUAUAGUCUUUACAAAGGCCAAAUGGCCCUAACAAAAAUACAAAAGUACAAAAAACAAUUUUUUUUUACAAAAGCGUCUAAAUAGCCUGUCUUCUCCACCUUCGGGUCCAUCGGAACCCUCAGAGUCUUCUUCUUCUUCUUCUUCUUCUUCUUCUUCUUAUUCUUCUUCGGGGUAGGCCAACUUCUUGUCCUCGGCCUCAAGCCCCUUGGCGGGUUCGAUCUUGGCUGAUCGAUCUAAACCCCAAGCAUGAAUCUCCUCGAGGGCCUCUCUUCACGACUACCGCUUCUCAUAAUCAACAAUGUCCUUCAAGCAGUCCUGGGCCGCCUCGGCAUCGGCCUUAUAUUGGGCCACCAUCUCGUCGGCUUUAACCACCGCGGUCGCUGAAUUGGCUGUUUCAAGUUCCUUGGCCAUAAUUUUUCGAUCAGAGGUACCCGAACGUAGCCGAGACUGGAGCUCUUCAAUCUUUUUGACCUACACCUUGACCUUUUCCUUUGCUGCUCGAAGCAAUACCUCGGCCGAAGUCAGUUGCACCCGAGUAACCUUUUUUUCUGAGGCCAGACGAUCCAUCCUGCCCCUCCAUUCGUCGGUCUCGGCCUUGACAACAUCCAUAUCAACUCGCAGUUGAUCAAUUUUUUAUUGGACCUGCAGAUUCCGACCGUUAGUUACCAAGCUUAUCUCUUCGUCACUAAACUCAAAUAUUUUUACCUGCUCGACCAAGAUGGCAUGCUCCUUUCGAGCCACCUCCAGCUCAACUCGGAGACUCUUAACCUCCCCAUCAUGUUGCUCACUGAGAAGUUUGUACAUAUCUCUCUUCUCAGUAAGCUCUUUGGCUUCGGCCUUAAGGAGACUCAACUCUUCUCGAUAUCGUAGGAAGCUCUCGUGGUGAAGCACCGAGGCCUUCUAAUACAAGGAAAAAUAUUAAGAUCUUUAAGUAACCAAAGCUAGAAAAUGAAAAGGUUUGGUAACACCUUACCCGAUUCAAUGCGUGAUGUGCUUCAUUGAACAAGAAUGGAUAUUCCACCUCGCUCAUCUUUGACUGAUCUUCUUCAGUCACCAGGCACCAGAGGCAACUAGCUACUCCAACAGGCGCGAAAAGGACCCGAGCAUCCUCCAAAACAGAGACAAUGAUCGACCGCUUCCGACCGGGAUCAACAAUCGAGGCAGGGAAUUGGUUGACCAAUCUCAGGUUCGAGCUAGAUCCACUCCGUGGCAAUAGAGUCCAUUCCAUAAAAAAAGCUUUGGUGGGGAUCGUUCGCUCCUUGGACCCCCUUAUUUGAACGCUCCUUCGCCGCUUGAGCUUCACCAAACAUUGAGUCCGUGAAUGAAGGAGAUCCCGUUAUAUCGAUGACACCGAGUGGAGCAGAACCGGUGUCUUGUGGGUUCUCGACCCUCACUGAUGUGUCGACCUCUUAAGUUUGGGAAGGAUUAGCCUCUAUCAGCCCCCCUUCGGUUGAUGCCCAUUCUUUAGGGACCGAUGGCUCUCGGGCCACUAAAAUUUCCUCCUCUUCAGACUCGUCCCUGAGCCGGUAGAGGGAGUCCGAAUCAAGUAUUAUGGAGCUGGAAGUUUCUUUUGGUUUGCGGAUAAGCCUCCUCUUUGGUUUCUUUUUCUCCGAGAUUGGAGAACUCGGAGCACUUUUUCUCUUCACCCUCUUUCGAAGCAGGGGACUCGGUGGGAAAAUCGUCACUACAUGAUGGGGGCCUCAUUUGGACAUCCUUGGGUAAACCUGCAAAAGGAAAUAAAACAAGUAAGGAAUUAAUCAUCCAAAGGGGAAGCUAAAUACUCCCCCCGUUCCAGUUUAUGUGAACCUAUUUCCUUUUUGAUCCGUUCCAAAAUGAAUGACCCCUUUCUAAAUUUGGAAACAAUUUAGCUUAAACUUCUAAUUCUAUCCUUAAUGAGAAGCUUUUAUAACCACACAAAUACUCUGGACCUCUUUUCGACUUGUUUAGGACCAUAAAUUCCAAAAGUCUUCAUUUUUUCAUGAACUCUGUGCCCACUCAAACAUGUUCACAUAAAUUGAAGUGGAGGGAGUAUCACUUAUGAAAGAGAUCUCACCAUGCAAAUGGGCCUCCCAUCGGCCCUUUGAAAGGUCGCGCCACGAGCGCUCGGAAUAUACGAUGCCCUCGACCCACUCCUUAAGUCGAGGAAUUGCGUUCGGGAUCCGAGCAACAACUGCACCAUCACAGAACGCCGAUAAGAAGGAAUAAAAAGGGCAUGUUCCACUUCUCAGGGAACGGCAUAUGCUCGGCCAUAAUCAAGUCCGAGGUCCUCACUUGGAUGAAACGGCCUAGCCAACCUCGAUCCAUAUCUUCAUCGAUACUCGAGAACGCGGCUUUACUAGCCCGAUGGGCGAGCUUAAUCAAUCCUCCCGAUAGAUUCGGGGAUUGUAUAAGCGCAUAAGGUGGUCGAUCGUGAAAGGGCACCCUUCGAUUUUGCUUACAAAGAAGCGGAGGAGGAUUACGAUCCUUCAGAAAGAAGGGUGAACUUGACCGAGGGUUACAUCGUAUAUUUUGGAAUAGUCAACAAUGACCGAGCCAAGGGGCCCAACGUGAAGGGAUAAGUGUAAAAACAUAAAAAUCCCUCGAUGUGGGUGGUGAUGGAUUCGUUAGGUUCGGGAACCACCAUAUGUUUGUCAGCCCAGUUACAAUCCUUCUUGACUUUGGAGAGAAUAUCCUCGGUGAUCGAGCAGAUGUACCUCGAGACCUCCUUACACCGGCCUAGUACGGAGGAGGGCUUUUUGACUUUAAAGUCAGCAUUGACCGGGCAUUCCCUCGGGUUGAAUAUUUUUAGAGGAGGUUCCGGUGCUGGUUCCUCGAUAGCAGUACGUGAAGCGGUCUCUUCGGUAGCCGGCCGCGAGGUAGAAGGAGUUUAUUUUUGGGGAACGAUUUUAGAAGUUUUCGCCAUUUAUUUAUAGAGAAUAAAUAAGGAAAAAAAGGAAGUUAAAAGAGUACACUCGAUGGUUUGAGAAAAAGUCGAAUGAGAAUUCUUAUAAAAGAACUCAAAGUAACCAGAAUAUAAGUACUUGGAAGUAUUGAAAUAUCUUAGAAACGAGGGCAGGAGGUUUGAAUGUAAAUUUUGAAUGAACAAAUGAGGGGGUAUAUAUAGUUUUCUAGCGACGAUUCACAUGUAGGAGUGGACGACCAGCAACUGACAAGCGUUUAAUGCCAUUAAGACUUGACUGACGAGACGUUUCGACAGUUUUGUCGUUUCUGUCGUGUGAUAUCGAAGAAAAAAUUGGAAGCUCAUGUCGUUUCUCGUCGUCUACUCUCCGAAAAACGAGGGGAUUAUCUGCGUACGGUCGAAAUCGAGCUCACCUACAACAUGACAAGUUAGAAACAUGACAACCAAAGACUGAAGAUCGAUCCUGAGUCCCACCAAGCUAGAACCCGGGGUCAUAAUGCCUUCCUUCGAGAAUAUUGAUUCCGUAAUCCCGGAGUCGACCUUAGCCCUGAUCAAGCUCGAAGAAACUCUGUUAGCAUAACCAACAGAAGAUCGAAAUAUCCGUGACCGGUCAGAUAUUAUGGCGGGAAUCUCGGCACGUAUCAAUAAGGCACCAAUAAUCAUCAAAUCAAGAAAUUUUUUUUACCUUUUAUAGAAUUGUACCUAAAGUAGGACUCCUCUACUAUAUAAAGGAGUGUCUGAUAAUUCAUUGAACAGAUUGUAAUACGCAUUCCAAAAUAAUAUAUUAUUAUUCUCCUUAAGUUCUUACUACUCUAUUUAAAGCUCUCAUUUCUCUUGUCUUGAUAUCGAUCGAAGUACCUGGUUCAAGGGUGAUUAAUUCUACGGGGCUAAGACUGUUCAAUUCAUGUGGUUUGCGUUUACUUUUCCAUUACUUAUUUUAAUUGCAAUCUAAUUUGUCAUUUUGUAUCAAGUUAAAUCACGCAUCCUUAAAACAACUUACAAAUUCAAUUAUUAUCCAAUUUUGAGGGUAAACAAUCCACAUCUUGGAUACGCAAAGAGACUAGUCUACUUGUUUGUCAAGAUCUAAGAUUGGCCUUACAAUUAAUUCAUGGAUUUUCCUACUAAGCUUGAGCAUCUUGUUGUGUUCUUUCUCAUUAUAAUUCCCACCCUCUUUGGUACUCAUCAAUGAAAGUCUAGUUGCGAGACUUACCUUAAAUUAAUUGUGACAUGUACCUUUUUUCCUGUUGUUUUAAACACCUAAAUCAAAUAUUCUUUUCUUUUUCCUAAUAAAUUGUUUUUUAUCUUGUGCGAAUUUAAAUUGCUCAUACUUUGUUGGCACUUAAACUCCUUUUAUUCCAUUUUCUCUUCAAACAGGUUGGGAAAAAAAUAGAAGGCAACAAACUUUAUGUUGGAGAAUUUGACAGAAAACUGAAAGCUACCAAAGGGGAGAAAAUACAACAAGAUUUUUGCAAGCAUGUUGCUCACUGCAAAACUGGCAGACCUUGCUAUUGCUGUUUAAUCAUGGGCAGAACUGAUUGUUAUUAUACAAUGCAACUUUGUGAGCAAGGAUGUCCCAAAUUUCCCCCUUCGACUCACAACCAUCAGAUCAAAAUCCCCUCGUGAUCUCAUGGUGUAUAUACAGGGGUUGACAACGUUAGAGCAAAAAUAAUAUUUAGUUAAGCAUAUAUUGGAGUAAGUUGUAACUAAAAGGAAAAUUCAGAUCUGUGCAUGUG
rnacentral:lncRNA from 1 species